rnacentral:rRNA from 1 species
AAAUUGAAGAGUUUGAUCAUGGCUCAGAUUGAACGCUGGCGGCAGGCCUAACACAUGCAAGUCGAACGGUAACAGGAAGCAGCUUGCUGCUUCGCUGACGAGUGGCGGACGGGUGAGUAAUGUCUGGGAAACUGCCUGAUGGAGGGGGAUAACUACUGGAAACGGUGGCUAAUACCGCAUAACGUCGCAAGACCAAAGAGGGGGACCUUCGGGCCUCUUGCCAUCAGAUGUGCCCAGAUGGGAUUAGCUAGUUGGUGAGGUAACGGCUCACCAAGGCGACGAUCCCUAGCUGGUCUGAGAGGAUGACCAGCCACACUGGAACUGAGACACGGUCCAGACUCCUACGGGAGGCAGCAGUGGGGAAUAUUGCACAAUGGGCGCAAGCCUGAUGCAGCCAUGCCGCGUGUAUGAAGAAGGCCUUCGGGUUGUAAAGUACUUUCAGCGGGGAGGAAGGUGUUGUGGUUAAUAACCGCAGCAAUUGACGUUACCCGCAGAAGAAGCACCGGCUAACUCCGUGCCAGCAGCCGCGGUAAUACGGAGGGUGCAAGCGUUAAUCGGAAUUACUGGGCGUAAAGCGCACGCAGGCGGUCUGUCAAGUCGGAUGUGAAAUCCCCGGGCUCAACCUGGGAACUGCAUUCGAAACUGGCAGGCUUGAGUCUUGUAGAGGGGGGUAGAAUUCCAGGUGUAGCGGUGAAAUGCGUAGAGAUCUGGAGGAAUACCGGUGGCGAAGGCGGCCCCCUGGACAAAGACUGACGCUCAGGUGCGAAAGCGUGGGGAGCAAACAGGAUUAGAUACCCUGGUAGUCCACGCCGUAAACGAUGUCUACUUGGAGGUUGUGCCCUUGAGGCGUGGCUUCCGGAGCUAACGCGUUAAGUAGACCGCCUGGGGAGUACGGCCGCAAGGUUAAAACUCAAAUGAAUUGACGGGGGCCCGCACAAGCGGUGGAGCAUGUGGUUUAAUUCGAUGCAACGCGAAGAACCUUACCUGGUCUUGACAUCCACAGAACUUUCCAGAGAUGGAUUGGUGCCUUCGGGAACUGUGAGACAGGUGCUGCAUGGCUGUCGUCAGCUCGUGUUGUGAAAUGUUGGGUUAAGUCCCGCAACGAGCGCAACCCUUAUCCUUUGUUGCCAGCGGUUAGGCCGGGAACUCAAAGGAGACUGCCAGUGAUAAACUGGAGGAAGGUGGGGAUGACGUCAAGUCAUCAUGGCCCUUACGACCAGGGCUACACACGUGCUACAAUGGCGCAUACAAAGAGAAGCGACCUCGCGAGAGCAAGCGGACCUCAUAAAGUGCGUCGUAGUCCGGAUUGGAGUCUGCAACUCGACUCCAUGAAGUCGGAAUCGCUAGUAAUCGUGGAUCAGAAUGCCACGGUGAAUACGUUCCCGGGCCUUGUACACACCGCCCGUCACACCAUGGGAGUGGGUUGCAAAAGAAGUAGGUAGCUUAACCUUCGGGAGGGCGCUUACCACUUUGUGAUUCAUGACUGGGGUGAAGUCGUAACAAGGUAACCGUAGGGGAACCUGCGGUUGGAUCACCUCAUUA